GAGCUGAGGCUCGAAAGCAUGGGUAGCGAACAGGAUUAGAUACCCCUGGUAGUCCAUGCCGUAAACGAUGAAUGCUAGGUGUUGGAGGGUUUCCGCCCUUCAGUGCCGCAGCUAACGCAUUAAGCAUUCCGCCUGGGGAGUACGACCGCAAGGUUGAAACUCAAAGGAAUUGACGGGGGCCCGCACAAGCGGUGGAGCAUGUGGUUUAAUUCGAAGCAACGCGAAGAACCUUACCAGGUCUUGACAUCUUUUGAUCACCUGAGAGAUCAGGUUUCCCCUUCGGGGGCAAAAUGACAGGUGGUGCAUGGUUGUCGUCAGCUCGUGUCGUGAGAUGUUGGGUUAAGUCCCGCAACGAGCGCAACCCUUAUGACUAGUUGCCAGCAUUUAGUUGGGCACUCUAGUAAGACUGCCGGUGACAAACCGGAGGAAGGUGGGGAUGACGUCAAAUCAUCAUGCCCCUUAUGACCUGGGCUACACACGUGCUACAAUGGAUGGUACAACGAGUUGCGAGACCGCGAGGUCAAGCUAAUCUCUUAAAGCCAUUCUCAGUUCGGACUGUAGGCUGCAACUCGCCUACACGAAGUCGGAAUCGCUAGUAAUCGCGGAUCAGCACGCCGCGGUGAAUACGUUCCCGGGCCUUGUACACACCGCCCGUCACACCAUGAGAGUUUGUAACACCCGAAGCCGGUGGCGUAACCCUUUUAGGGAGCGAGCCGC
rnacentral:rRNA from 2 species